UAAGGACAGAUUAAGGCUUUGUCUCU
rnacentral:piRNA from 1 species